AAAUGCGAUAAGUAAUGUGCAUUGCAGAAUUCAGUGAAUCAUCGAAUCUUUGAACGCCCCUUGCGCUCCUUGGUAUUCCUUGGAGCAUGCCUGUUUGAGUAUCAUGAAAUCUUCAAAGUAAAUCUUUUGUUAACUCAAUUGGUUUCUACUUUGGUAUUGGAGGUCUUUGCAGCUUCACACCUGCUCCUCUUUGUUCAUUAGCUGGAUCUCAGUGUUAUGCUUGGUUCCACUCGGCGUGAUAAGUUAUCUAUCGCUGAGGACACUGUAAAAGGUGGCCAAGGUAAAUGCAGAUGAACCGCUUCUAAUAGUCCAUUGACUUGGACAAUACUUUUAUGAUCUGAUCUCAAAUCAGGUAGGACUACCCGCUGAACUUAAGC
rnacentral:misc_RNA from 1 species